rfam:Ictidomys tridecemlineatus contig099121, whole genome shotgun sequence.
GUUUCUGUAGUGUAGUGGUUAUCACUUUCACCUCACACAUGAAAGUCCCCAGUUCAAAACCAGGCAGAAACA